rnacentral:lncRNA from 1 species
CAUAAGAUUCUUCAAGAAAUAGCUUGUCUUCUUUGUUGAGAUUUGAUAUUGAAUAGAAUUUCAAUCUGACAUCAUCAAUGUCUUCAACCAUUUCGUCCUCCCUCUCGUAUCUUGCUCGAGAUAGCAUGUCUGCUACUAAAUUGUCCUUCCCAGUAACAUGCUAAAAUUCUGGAUUUAGUGACUUAAUAUAAGCAAUCCAUCUCAACAUUGCAAUAUCUGGCGUUGAACAGUUAGUAAUCAUUCCGAGCAAUGGCAAGCAAUCUGUUUCAAUUACUACUACUGCCCCAAUCAAAUAGUCCUUUUCAACUUUCAUAGUCAAAACAACUCCCCAAAGUUCUCUUUUGACUUG